rnacentral:rRNA from 1 species
AACGAACGCUGGCGGCAGGCUUAACACAUGCAAGUCGAACGCCCCGCAAGGGGAGUGGCAGACGGGUGAGUAACGCGUGGGAACAUACCCUUUUCUACGGAAUAGCCCUGGGAAACUGGAAUUAAUACCGUAUACGCCCUACGGGGGAAAGAUUUAUCGGGGAAGGAUUGGCCCGCAUUGGAUUAGCUAGUUGGUGGGGUAAAGGCCUACCAAGGCGACGAUCCAUAGCUGGGCUGAGAGGAUGAACAGCCACAUUGGGACUGAGACACGGCCCAAACUCCUACGGGAGGCGGCAGUGGGGAAUAUUGGACAGUGGGCGCAAGCCUGAUCCAGCCAUGCCGCGUGAGUGAUGAAGGCCUUAGGGUUGUAAAGCUCUUUCACCGAUGAAGAUAAUGACGGUAGUCGGAGAAGAAGCCCCGGCUAACUUCGUGCCAGCAGCCGCAGUAACAC